rnacentral:rRNA from 1 species
CACGUAGGGCGCAAGCGUUGUCCGGAAUUAUUGGGCGUAAAGAGCUCGUAGGCGGUCCACUACGUCUGCUGUGAAAACCCGGGGCUCAACCCCGGGCUUGCAGUGGAUACGGGCGGACUAGAGGCAGGUAGGGGAGAAUGGAAUUCCCGGUGUAGCGGUGAAAUGCGCAGAUAUCGGGAGGAACACCGGUGGCGAAGGCGGUUCUCUGGGCCUGACCUGACGCUGAGGAGCGAAAGCGUGGGGAGCGAACAGG